rnacentral:ncRNA from 1 species
GUCGGUGGUGCCCCUCACGGGGGUAAUAGGGAACGCGGUGCGAUAAACAGCCAAGAAGCUCGUUUAUCAAGUCUGCGGCUGCACCCGCAACUGUCAGCGGAUAGCAACCUGCUUUUUGUCACUCGGUUUCGGGGAAGGCGGCAGGGAUGCAAUGACCCGCAAGCCAGGAAACCUGCCAUGGUCGG